CAAAAUCUAAUUUUGCUUUCUUAAACGUGGGGUAAUGGAGUCCCUCUUUGACCAAAACCAAUGAUUCAAUGAAAUCAAAAUCCCCUGGAGUCACCAUUACCGUGCAAUUGCAAUGAGUUUCACAACCUGCUAAAUCAAGAAAGCCUUCUCAUCAGAAAAUAGAAAACUAGUCAUAACAAAGCAGGAACCAAAAGCCAGACCAACCGGCCAAGCCAAACCCAAGUUGCCAACCUCAUUUCAAACACAGCCUGACGCAUCAAACAAGGUCGACGAAGCAACCCAACAUUUUCGCAAUUCCCGAGGAGGAUAAGUAGCUCAAGAACCAAUACAAUCUCGUUUUCAUUUCCCAGCUGAAGCCCAAAUCACUGCGUUUUUCCGGAACAUUUGGAGUCAGCGGCGGAAACCAAGUUGAAAUCGGAAUGGCCGCUGCUGCGGCGUGUAAACGGGUCGCCCAAUCCGGGUUCGGAGCUCUCGGCGGGUCCAAACUGAUUUCUCCGAGUUUGCCGCACAGGCAUUUGGAUUGCAGGCUCAUUUCCUCCGAGCUUGUCAAAUCUACUAAUGGAAAGCGCCUUUUUCUUGUUGACACAUUAGCUUUGGUUAGGAGAUUAGAGGGGCAAGGGGUGCCCUCGAAGCACGCCGAGGCCAUAACAGCUGCCAUCACUGAAGUUUUGAAUGACAGCUUGGAGAAUGUGUCUCAGUCGUUUGUUUCCAAGGCAGAGCAGCAGAAAAAUGAGAUGAUCCAAGACUCGAACUUGUCCAAAUUCAAAUCCGAAGUUCAAAGUUCUCAGGGACACCACUUUUCUUUGUUGCAACACGAGACUGAAAAACUUCGGAAUGAUAUAGAGAAGAUGCGCAAUGAAUUGAGGUAUGAAAUCGACAAAGUUACUGCAGGGCAAAGGUUGGACUUGAAUCUUGAAAGGGGGAGGAUACGGGAAGAGCUAGCAAAUCAGAAUGCUGAAACCAAUAACCUUACUAACAAACUUGAUCGGGAAAUUCAUGCUUUGCGUGCACAAGUGGAAGCCGCAAAAUAUGAUGUCAUAAAAUACUGCAUAGGUACACUUGUCUCCAUUUCUGCUGUUGGUCUCGCUGUACUACGUAUCUUGAUGUAAACUUUUUCCAUAGUUACUGGUGACAAACGCAAUAGGGGAAACUAUGGAAAGGUUCAUUCUUUUCAGUAACCUUUUCUAGCAAUCAAGCUGUUGUUGUAUUUUUAAGAAAUAUGCUAAAGACAUGAAUGAUAAUGCAAGUAAAUCAUCGUCAAUGGGGCUUAAGGAAGAGUUUUCAGUUACCUUAAGCCCAUACUCA